rnacentral:rRNA from 1 species
GCCCGCUCAGAACUUAAAUGAAUUGACGGGGCCGCACAAGCGGAGGAGCAUGUGGUUUAAUUCGAUGAUACGCGAGGAACCUUACCUGGGCUCGAACGUAAGAUGACUGUAGGUGAAAGCUUACAUCUCUUCGGAGCAUUUUACGAGGUGCUGCAUGGUUGUCGUCAGCUCGUGCCGUGAGGUGUCGGGUUAAGUCCCAUAACGAGCGCAACCCCUACCUUUAGUUGCCAUCAGGUUAAGCUGGGGACUCUAAAGGAACUGCCUACGCAAGUAGUGAGGAAGGCGGGGAUGACGUCAAAUCAGCACGGCCCUUACGUCCAGGGCUACACACGUGCUACAAUGGCCGAUACAGAGGGCAGCUACCUGGUGACAGGAUGCAAAUCUCCAAAGUCGGUCUCAGUUCGGAUCGGAGUCUGCAACCCGACUCCGUGAAGUUGGAUUCGCUAGUAAUCGCGCAUCAGCCAUGGCGCGGUGAAUACGUUCCCGGGCCUU